rnacentral:rRNA from 1 species
GACAGAGGUGCCAAGCGUUAGGCGGAAUCACUGGGCUUAAAGCGUGUGUAGGCGGGCGAUCAAGUACCUUGUGAAAUCCCACGGCUCAACCGUGGAACUGCUGGGUAUACUGGUUGUCUUGAGCCAGCUAGGGGCGAGCGGAACAGACGGUGGAGCGGUGAAAUGCGUAGAUAUCAGGAGGAACACCGGUGGCGAAGGCGGGUCUCUGGGCCGAUAUUGACGCUGAGGAGCGAAAGCGUGGGGAGCAAACAGG